UACAGAGGUGGCAGGCGUUGUUCGGAAUUACUGGGCGUAAAGGGCGCGUAGGCGGCCCGAUAAGUCUCGUGUGAAAGCCCUCGGCUUAACUGAGGAUCUGCACGGGAUACUGUAGGGCUCGAGUUCGGGAGAGGAAAGCGGAAUUCCGGGUGUAGCGGUGAAAUGCGUAGAUAUCCGGAGGAACACCAGUGGCGAAGGCGGCUUUCUGGACCGACACUGACGCUGAGGCGCGAAAGCUAGGGGAGCAAACGGG
rnacentral:rRNA from 1 species